AUGAGGGGUAUAUAAAUUGUCCCGCAUUUACGAAGCACCAGUCAGCUGAGCAUCACACAGCGUCAACAUGAAGUUCGUCGUCGUUCUUUGCCUCUUCGCCCUGGCCUUCGCCGCCCCUCAGGAGGACGCUCAGAUCCUCGGGGACGAAAUAGCCGAAACUCGACAGAAGUUCCAGAAGAAGAAGUGUCCUUAGUCAUAACACAAGCCCGGGAGAUUCAUGGCUCCCCUAAACUCAAAAGAAGCAGCGACAUCUUCCCCACCCCUGCCAGCCUUCAUGAACGCGUCCAGUUUGAUUAUUCCACCAGAGCGUUCACGAACUCCUCAGGAUCGCCAGAAAACACCGUCUUCGGUUAACAACCUCUCAAGAGAUGUUCGUCACUGCUCGCCCCCUGCUGCAUCUCUGAUCCUUUUCCUUGCUGAAUAUGAAGUAGAUAUCUACCUUUCUUGUUUGUUUCCAGAAUAUCACAUCAGUUUUUCAUUCACAGAUCAUAAAUUAUCCUAAUAAAUGUGGUUACCAUAAGGGUUUUGGUUUUUUGUCCAUUCUUAAAGGCGAAUCCAGUGACUCCUUCAUUUUGUGUUACUGUUAAUUAUAUAAACGAACUGUAGGUACAUGACAACCUCCGUUGCUUCAUUUGAUCUUCAUGCUAUAGUAGAUUCACAUCAACCGUGCGUUUGAUGCCUAGGCCCUUCCCUUACGACGCUCCUGAUUGCCUGUUGAUAAGCCACUCACCGGGCUGGAAACUCUCAGUCUCUCUUGA